rnacentral:rRNA from 1 species
UACAGAGGGUGCAAGCGUUAAUCGGAAUUACUGGGCGUAAAGCGUGCGUAGACGGUUGCGUAAGUCAGAUGUGAAAGCCCCGGGCUCAACCUGGGAAUUGCAUUUGAGACUGCGUAGCUAGGGUGCGGAAGAGGGAAGCGGAAUUUCCGGUGUAGCGGUGAAAUGCGUAGAUAUCAGGAGGAACACCGGUGGCGAAGGCGGUUCUCUGGGAAUAUCCUGACGCUGAGGAGCGAAAGUGUGGGGAGCGAACAGG